rnacentral:rRNA from 1 species
GUGUCAGCAGCCGCGGUAAUACAGAGGGGGCAAGCGUUGUUCGGAAUUACUGGGCGUAAAGGGCGCGUAGGCGGCCCACUAAGUCGGACGUGAAAUCCCUCGGCUCAACCGGGGAACUGCGUCCGAUACUGGAGGGCUUGAAUUCGGGAGAGGGAUGCGGAAUUCCAGGUGUAGCGGUGAAAUGCGUAGAUAUCUGGAGGAACACCGGUGGCGAAGGCGGCAUCCUGGACCGAGAUUGACGCUGAUGCGCGAAAGCUAGGGGAGCAAACGGGAUUAGAUACCCCGGUAGUCCUAGCCCUAAACGAUGAGUGCUUGGUGUGGCGGGUAUCGAUCCCUGCCGUGCCGAAGCUAACGCAUUAAGCACUCCGCCUGGGGAGUACGGUCGCAAGGCUGAA